AUGGGUAUGCAGGCUCUGAUGGAUGUCCGGUGCAUGAACCUUGUCAACCCUGUAUGCGACUCGCUUGGUGAGAUCUACCACCCCGCCUCCAGGGAAUUCGUGAUUCCGGGACGUGGAAGACUACCAUUGAACGAGGAAUCUGUGUUCUGCACUUUGGGUGUGCCUCGUGGACAUAUCAAAGUCCCGUACGAGGUCAAUAAUGAGAUCGAGGAAGCGUUGUUCGCCCGUUUGUUUCCUGGAUUGGAAUCCAUGCCGAACACGUCUGCACUGGCAGAUUCGCUGCAGGCCAUGACGACGCAUGGAGAUGUUUUCAAGAUGAAGCUACUCAUGUACCUCAUCUCAGCUGUUUUCGCGCCGACCACUUCUCUUCGCCCAAGCAACAAAUGCUUUCCCAUCCUGGCGAAUCUGAAAAAUGUGAAGAACAUGAACUGGUGUAAGUUUAUUGCUGACUUCCUCCACGAUGCAUUCUCAAGCAAGAUGUACCAAAAGGGUUGUCACUGCAUUUAA
rnacentral:rRNA from 1 species